UACGGGGGGGGGCAAGCGUUGUUCGGAAUUACUGGGCGUAAAGGGCUCGUAGGCGGCCAACUAAGUCCGACGUGAAAUCCCAAGGCUUAACCUUGGAACUGCGUCGGAUACUGGAUGGCUUGAAUUCGGGAGAGGGAUGCAGAAUUCCAGGUGUAGCGGUGAAAUGCGUAGAUAUCUGGAGGAAUACCGGUGGCGAAGGCGGCAUCCUGGACCGACAUUGACGCUGAAAGCCGAAAGCUAGGGGAGCAAACGGG
rnacentral:rRNA from 1 species